GAGUGGCGAACUGGUGAGUAACACGUGGGAAACCUGCCCAGAAGCGGGGGAUAACACCUGGAAACAGAUGCUAAUACCGCAUAACAACUUGGACCGCAUGGUCCGAGUUUGAAAGAUGGCUUCGGCUAUCACUUUUGGAUGGUCCCGCGGCGUAUUAGCUAGAUGGUGGGGUAACGGCUCACCAUGGCAAUGAUACGUAGCCGACCUGAGAGGGUAAUCGGCCACAUUGGGACUGAGACACGGCCCAAACUCCUACGGGAGGCAGCAGUAGGGAAUCUUCCACAAUGGACGAAAGUCUGAUGGAGCAACGCCGCGUGAGUGAAGAAGGGUUUCGGCUCGUAAAACUCUGUUGUUAAAGAAGAACAUAUCUGAGAGUAACUGUUCAGGUAUUGACGGUAUUUAACCAGAAAGCCACGGCUAACUACGUGCCAGCAGCCGCGGUAAUACGUAGGUGGCAAGCGUUGUCCGGAUUUAUUGGGCGUAAAGCGAGCGCAGGCGGUUUUUUAAGUCUGAUGUGAAAGCCUUCGGCUCAACCGAAGAAGUGCAUCGGAAACUGGGAAACUUGAGUGCAGAAGAGGACAGUGGAACUCCAUGUGUAGCGGUGAAAUGCGUAGAUAUAUGGAAGAACACCAGUGGCGAAGGCGGCUGUCUGGUCUGUAACUGACGCUGAGGCUCGAAAGUAUGGGUAGCAAACAGGAUUAGAUACCCUGGUAGUCCAUACCGUAAACGAUGAAUGCUAAGUGUUGGAGGGUUUCCGCCCUUCAGUGCUGCAGCUAACGCAUUAAGCAUUCCGCCUGGGGAGUACGGCCGCAAGGCUGAAACUCAAAGGAAUUGACGGGGGCCCGCACAAGCGGUGGAGCAUGUGGUUUAAUUCGAAGCUACGCGAAGAACCUUACCAGGUCUUGACAUACUAUGCAAAUCUAAGAGAUUAGACGUUCCCUUCGGGGACAUGGAUACAGGUGGUGCAUGGUUGUCGUCAGCUCGUGUCGUGAGAUGUUGGGUUAAGUCCCGCAACGAGCGCAACCCUUAUUAUCAGUUGCCAGCAUUAAGUUGGGCACUCUGGUGAGACUGCCGGUGACAAACCGGAGGAAGGUGGGGAUGACGUCAAAUCAUCAUGCCCCUUAUGACCUGGGCUACACACGUGCUACAAUGGAUGGUACAACGAGUUGCGAACUCGCGAGAGUAAGCUAAUCUCUUAAAGCCAUUCUCAGUUCGGAUUGUAGGCUGCAACUCGCCUACAUGAAGUCGGAAUCGCUAGUAAUCGCGGAU
rnacentral:rRNA from 2 species